CACCAGGCAGACAGCUAGAGCCCAAGCUCGGCAGCCCAGGACGGCCCUAAGAAUUGCGAGGGAGUUUCCUAACAACCCUAUUUCAAAUUUCCUAAUAGUGGAGUUUCAAAGCCAGCUACCUCCUGCCCAGCACAAACGAGGGUGUGGUUGUGUUCACAUUCACACUGAAACAAAAGAAAACUAGCAGAGCACCCCCACCCCCCACCCCUACCCCCUGGGCCUCGCUCAGCUCCGGACAUUUUCCCAGGCACCCGGUGCAGCCGAGCUACGGGCACGCCCUACGGCCGCUGCACUUUCCAGAGCCAGGGUGCAGCCUCCCCCAAGGUCGGAUCCCAAGGGGCUCCAAGGACCCGGCCCCCGGGUGAGCUGGCCGGUUUGCCUUGCCGAGCUAAGUCCGACCCGCAGUUGCAGCCAGAUACUGGCCCAAGGCCUGUGGCUGGGCUCAAAAUCGUCCUCUCCCGGGCUGGAAUCCUGGGAAUGUCGCUGCGGGGAAGCAUCUGGCUGGCCUCCGGGCGGCAGGAGGGGGUCAAACCUUUUUCGGGUGAUUUUGCACAAAAUUCUCCCUACACCAAGGGCUGCGGUCCUGGGAAGUGGAAGCCCAAGGAAUGACAAGAGAGCUGCUCGCUCCUUCUCCAGGUCGCCUUCGUCAUGUCUAACUCCCGAUACGCUGCCGGCGAAGCAGACAAAAUGCCUUUUCCCCGUUCCGAAGACCCCUUCUUUGUGUCUAUGGAAGUUCCUUCCUCGGUUGCGAACCAUCUAUGCCACCCGAGCGGGUCUUUCCAGCUGGAUUGUCGCCACCUCGUGGCUACCUUGGUCCUUCGUCCCCCUAAGCCCUUUGCUCUCUUUGGUCUCAAGCCUAUUUUUCUUUUCUUUCUACAACCAGCUAUGGACUGAAACUUUAUAAUCCUGUUCUCUGGGCUUAGGAUGUGAGCUGGGAUACCUCUGUCCCCUUCUUUCUGUUACACCGCUCGCCUUCUUAAAGAGAAACGAAGCAGGUGCUAGUUGGAGGGCAGGAGUCACCGGGUUGGCAAGCCUGUGGGGGCUCGGUGUGAGGCGCCAGUCCUCUCUCUACCAAUUUCCCAUGAGACAAACUGAUGAUUAAGAAGACAAACGCACUCUGUCUUGUUCCUACUGAAAGGAGCUGUGUCGAGCACUCCGUCUCCUUCCUUCUGGAUGAAAGAGAUCUGGCAUCCUGGAAGUCUCCAGUGCACAGCUUCGGCCUGUGUGGUUUGGAGAGUUGGGAAGUUUAUCCGUCCAUCCUGCUGCUUGGAUGCCAGCCACGCAGGAGUCUCUCAUACAACCUUUCUGAGUUUUUCUUUUUACCCAUUUCUCAUCUCAAAUAACAAAUUCCUAAAGGCAUAAUUUCAAAGAAGUUGCUCAUCAGUUUAGGGGACCUGGGCCAACCUUCCCAACCUUCCCUUGUGCCCAUUCAUUCAUUCAUUCAUUCAGAAUGCAUAUGUUGUGUGUCCAUAUGCUGCAUAUUAAUAAUAGCUCCUUUCUUCAGUAAGUUGGGGCUAGCUCAUUCCUGCGCAGCAAAGCUUCAUGGUUAAUUCUUGUUAUUCUUACUCUGUAGUGAGAAAACUGGAGCUCCCAGAAGAUGCCUAUCAUAGCACAAGUAGACAGGAACCUGGGAACAUGCAUGAGACUGCAACUCCCAGCUACUCUGACAAUCAAAGCCCUGCGUUACCUUCCUGCACCUGUCACAUGGAAGCAUGAUGAGAGGAUGAAGCGGACAGGGUAUCCCUGUGUGGUCUGGGCAGUAUUAAAAGGCUCUUCAGACCAGACUGGCUUGAAUUUGG
rnacentral:lncRNA from 1 species